CACGUAGGGGACGAGCGUUGUCCGGAUUCAUUGGGCGUAAAGCGCACGUAGGCGGAUUGUUAAGUCGGGGGGUGAAAUCCUGGAGCUCAACUCCAGAACUGCCUUCGAUACUGGCGAUCUUGAGUCCGGGAGAGGUGAGUGGAACUCCGAGUGUAGAGGUGAAAUUCGUAGAUAUUCGGAAGAACACCAGUGGCGAAGGCGGCUCACUGGCCCGGUACUGACGCUGAGGUGCGAAAGCGUGGGGAGCAAACAGGG
rnacentral:rRNA from 1 species